UUUACUCCUCGCGGUGACGGGCUCUCUUUGUUUAUAGUCAGUUUUCAAGCAGUUAUACGAGUCGGAGUUUCGUGGUGGCCACCGUUGUAGUUUUAGUUCUCGUGUUUUUAAAAGUUUUUAUUUUUCCGCGUAGACAUUCGACGAUUUUAACAUUUCGCGUGGACAAUCGAUCAGUUUUAUGAAUAGUUUUUAAGUUAUAAUGUGUGCCUGCCUGAGGAUGCCCCCCAUGCGGGGCGAAACGUUGCGGAUGCGUAGGAACUAAUGUUUCGAUUUUUUUAUGGCUGCAAGCUGAAUAAAUAAGUUUCGAUGCGACUUGAAUCUAAACAUCAACUUACAAUACCACUGCAACUUGUAAAACAAUUUGAGAAAUGCAUGGCAAAAGGACCUGCAGUAAGGCUAUGUGGCAUCAUAGCCUUACUCAAUAGGGUGUGUGCCCGACCUGGCAACGGGGCACCCACAGACAGACAGGCCACUAGCCAGAGCCAGGCCCUUCCUGUUCAAGUCGUGAUCUCGCUAUAAUAAACAUCUUUGAGUGAUCA